rnacentral:rRNA from 1 species
AGUGAACGCUGGCGGUAGGCCUGACACAUGCAAGUCGAACGGCAGCACAGUAAGAGCUUGCUCUUACGGGUGGCGAGUGGCGGACGGGUGAGGAAUACAUCGGAAUCUACUUUUUCGUGGGGGAUAACGUAGGGAAACUUACGCCAAUACCGCAUACGACCUACGGGUGAAAGCAGGGGAUCUUCGGACCUUGCGCGAUUGAAUGAGCCGAUGUUGGUUUUGUUAGUUGGCGGGGUACAGGCCCACCAAGGCGACGAUAGGUAGCUGGUCUGAGAGGAUGAUCAGCGACAGUGGAACUGAGACGCGAUCCAGACUCCUACGGGAGGCAGCAGUGGGGAAUGUUGGACAAAGGGCGCAAGCCUGAUCCAGCCAUGCCGCGUGGGUGAAGAAGGCCUGCGGGUGGUAAAGCCCUUUUGUUGUGAAAGAAAAGCAGCAGGUUAAUACCCCGCUGUUCUGACGGUACCCAAAGAAUAAGCACCGGCAAACUUCGU